UGGGUCGAUGCCCGAGCGGUUAAUGGGGGCGGACUGUAAAUCCGUUGGCUAUGCCUACGCUGGUUCAAAUCCAGCUCGGCCCAU
rnacentral:tRNA from 1 species